GCUUACGGCCAUAUCAGCCUGGGUACGCCCGAUCUCGUCUGAUCUCGGAAGCGAAGCAGGGUCGGGCCUGGUUAGUACUUGGAUGGGAGACCCCUGGGAAUACCAGGUGCUGUAAGCA
rnacentral:rRNA from 1 species